AUUGAACGCUGGCGGCAGGCCUAACACAUGCAAGUCGAGCGGAUGAAGGGAGCUUGCUCCUGGAUUCAGCGGCGGACGGGUGAGUAAUGCCUAGGAAUCUGCCUGGUAGUGGGGGAUAACGUCCGGAAACGGGCGCUAAUACCGCAUACGUCCUGAGGGAGAAAGUGGGGGAUCUUCGGACCUCACGCUAUCAGAUGAGCCUAGGUCGGAUUAGCUAGUUGGUGGGGUAAAGGCCUACCAAGGCGACGAUCCGUAACUGGUCUGAGAGGAUGAUCAGUCACACUGGAACUGAGACACGGUCCAGACUCCUACGGGAGGCAGUAGUGGGGAAUAUUGGACAAUGGGCGAAAGCCUGAUCCAGCCAUGCCGCGUGUGUGAAGAAGGUCUUCGGAUUGAAAAGCACUUUAAGUUGGGAGGAAGGGCAGUAAGUUAAUACCUUGCUGUUUUGACGUUACCAACAGAAUAAGCACCGGCUAACUUCGUG
rnacentral:rRNA from 1 species